rnacentral:rRNA from 1 species
AUGCAGUCGACGAACCUUCGGGUUAGUGGCGGACGGGUGAGUAACGCGUGAGAAUCUGCCCUCAAGAGGGGGAUAACAGUUGGAAACGACUGCUAAUACCCCAUAUGCCGAGAGGUGAAACGAAUUUUGCCUGGGGAUGAGCUCGCGUCUGAUUAGCUUGUUGGUGGGGUAAAAGCCUACCAAGGCUUCGAUCAGUAGCUGGUCUGAGAGGACGAUCAGCCACACUGGGACUGAGAUACGGCCCAGACUCCUACGGGAGGCAGCAGUGGGGAAUUUUCCGCAAUGGGCGCAAGCCUGACGGAGCAACGCCGCGUGAGGGAUGAAGGCCUUUGGGCUGUAAACCUCUUUUCUCAAGGAAGAAGAUCUGACGGUACUUGAGGAAUAAGCCACGGCUAAUUCCGUGCCAGCAGCCGCGGUAAUACGGGAGUGGCAAGCGUUAUCCGGAAUUAUUGGGCGUAAAGCGUCCGCAGGCGGCCGUUUAAGUCUGUUGUUAAAUCGUGGAGCUCAACUCCAUCACGGCAAUGGAAACUGUUCGGCUUGAGUAUGGUAGGGGCAGAGGGAAUUUCCGGUGUAGCGGUGAAAUGCGUAGAUAUCGGGAAGAACACCAGUGGCAAAAGCGCUCUGCUGGGCCAUUACUGACGCUCAUGGACGAAAGCCAGGGGAGCGAAAGGGAUUAGAUA